CUGCUGUCGACGUUUGAUGAUGUAUCAACUUUGAAACUGCGCAAAAAGCUUAUUCUUAUUCAGUAAUUUUUAAAGUGUCGCCAUCUUGUGUCUCCAAUGAGUACCGUCGUUUAAAAGCAAGCAGAUGUUCUUACAAUGACCGGGUUCUAAAAUUUAUUAAACAAAAAAAAAGUUGAAAUGUCAGGGAUAAUCAGUGCAAGUUUUUCAAUAGUUUGUUUUAUUUAUUAGUGUUAUUAAAAACAAUUUAACUAUCUUCCUUAAUUUUAUUUUCAGUGAUAACCUUCGUCAAAAUUUUUUAUUACACAUUAAAUUGGCUGUCUAUGUUCCGGUGAGUCAAUUUAUUUUAAAAAUCCAUUUUUUAAUAGCUUGCUUUUGGUUUGUUUGUUAUAGGAACGUGAAGAUUUAUAAU